GACGAACGCUGGCGGCGUGCCUAAUACAUGCAAGUCGAGCGAGCUUGCCUAGAUGAAUUUGGUGCUUGCACCAGAUGAAACUAGAUACAAGCGAGCGGCGGACGGGUGAGUAACACGUGGGUAACCUGCCCAAGAGACUGGGAUAACACCUGGAAACAGAUGCUAAUACCGGAUAACAACACUAGACGCAUGUCUAGAGUUUAAAAGAUGGUUCUGCUAUCACUCUUGGAUGGACCUGCGGUGCAUUAGCUAGUUGGUAAGGUAACGGCUUACCAAGGCAAUGAUGCAUAGCCGAGUUGAGAGACUGAUCGGCCACAUUGGGACUGAGACACGGCCCAAACUCCUACGGGAGGCAGCAGUAGGGAAUCUUCCACAAUGGACGCAAGUCUGAUGGAGCAACGCCGCGUGAGUGAAGAAGGGUUUCGGCUCGUAAAGCUCUGUUGGUAGUGAAGAAAGAUAGAGGUAGUAACUGGCCUUUAUUUGACGGUAAUUACUUAGAAAGUCACGGCUAACUACGUGCCAGCAGCCGCGGUAAUACGUAGGUGGCAAGCGUUGUCCGGAUUUAUUGGGCGUAAAGCGAGUGCAGGCGGUUCAAUAAGUCUGAUGUGAAAGCCUUCGGCUCAACCGGAGAAUUGCAUCAGAAACUGUUGAACUUGAGUGCAGAAGAGGAGAGUGGAACUCCGUGUGUAGCGGUGGAAUGCGUAGAUAUAUGGAAGAACACCAGUGGCGAAGGCGGCUCUCUGGUCUGCAACUGACGCUGAGGCUCGAAAGCAUGGGUAGCGAACAGG
rnacentral:rRNA from 1 species